rnacentral:rRNA from 1 species
GACGAACGCUGGCGGCGUGCCUAAUACAUGCAAGUAGGAGCAAGUUGCGAACGGGUGAGUAACGCGUAGGUAACUACCUAUUAGAGGGGGAUAACUAUUGGAAACGAUAGCUAAUACCGCAUACUAGUAGCUGGACCUGCGUUGUAUUAGCGAGUAGGUAGGGUAAUGGCCUCACUAGGCAACGAUACAUAGCCGACCUGAGAGGGUUAUCGGCCACACGGGGACUGAGACACGGUCCAGACUCCUACGGGAGGCAGCAGUGGGGAAUAUGGCAAAAUGGGCGCAAGCCUGAUGCAGCCAUGCCGCGUGUAUGAAGAAGGCCUUCGGGUUGUAAAGUACUUUCAGCGAGGAGCGUUACUCGCAGAAGAAGCACCGGCUAACUCCGUGCCAGCAGCCGCGGUAAUAC